GAAUGGCGUUCUGACACGUGGCUAGCGUGUAGUUUCAGACUCGGAGCAACGGCUCAAAAUAGGCACACUAUGAGAAUAUCCUCGUUUGUAUUGGUAGCCGCACAUAUAUCUUUAUGCCACGCCCAGUACGACCUGGAAGUGGCUAUUGAGACGCACUUAGUGAUUCAUCUUUUCUUUCUUCGUUUUUUAUUCUUCUUGGGGGCAGAAAUACAACGACAGUCGAUUAAUCUAAAUGAACCAGGCAAGACGAAUGGCCGAACAAUCGGAAAAAAUUACGUCUAGAUUCCACGUUCCAAAAGUAUACUGUUUUGGAAUCCAUCUGGCGCGGAAAGUCGAACGAUAGAACGAACCGUUAUGCCUUUGAUCCUCGAAAUUGGCCACAGUCCGGUGAUCCACGACCCAACUUCAAAUUCGAAUAAUGCCUAGAACCUUUUGCUAUCACUCCGUACAAGGGUCAUUGGGGCUAAUAGAGUAGGUUGCAGCGGACGACCAAGUCACGCCAAGUUUAGCAGCGUGGAAUCCAGCCCAAACACGACCGAAAUAAAUACUAAUCGCGAUUCUUAAUCAACGGAUCCCGGUCUCUAUAUAUAAAGACCGUAAUUCUGCUGCUGCCAAAUCGCUUCGAGCCUCGUGGAUUAUUUAAAGUAAAACUUGUCACACCGCUGGAUUUACGAGCUCUUCCUAUACCAAACCUCUCUAUGAUUUUCAUAUUGGAUAAUCAGAAACGGUAAUCGUCGCUCUAUAAUACUUUACGAACUGAUGAUUACUCAACGAUGCUUUAAAUACUCCUUUUCUGUUUCAUUAUUUAAAGACAACGUCACUAUGCGCAUAUAUCUUACUAUUUCUAGCCAUAUAUUUGUUUUUCAAUAAAUAAGAUUGAAUCAGAGAACCAAUUGUACACAUAGUUCUUUAGAAACUUCAUAAUUCUUUAGAAUCUUCCAAUGAUGAAACUACUUUUAAGCUUGUCUGCUAUAAUCAUUAGAAUUAAUCAUCGAGAUUAAACUUACCAUUUCAGGGAAUAAGUCAAAGAACCAGCGUAUGUAUAUAUUUACAAUAAAGAGGAGCAUUCUACGUUUUAA